CGCGGUAUUUUGACUGUGCGAAGGUAGCAUAAUCAUUUGUCUUUUAAUUGAAGACUUGUAUGAAUGGCUGAACGAGAAAAUAACUGUCUCUUUAAAAAAUCUUGAAUUUUACUUUUAAGUGAAAAGGCUUAAAUAAUUUUAAGGGACGAUAAGACCCUAUAAAUCUUUAUAUUAUUUUUCUUUAACUUUUAAAUUAUAUAUUAAAAGAAGAAAAGAAAAAAAUAUUAUAUUGGGGAGAUAAAAAUAUAAUUUUUAACUGUUUUAAACAUAAAACAAUAAUUUUUGAUUUAUUAAAAAUGAUCCUUUUUAAAGAUUUUAAGAUUAAGUUACUUUAGGGAUAACAGCGUAAUUUUUUUUGAGAGUUCUUAUCGAAAAAAAAGUUUGCGACCUCGAUGUUGAAUUAAAAUAUCCUUAUAAGUGUAGAAGCUAUAAAGGAAAGUCUGUUCGACUUUUAAAAUUUUACAU
rnacentral:rRNA from 1 species